GCACUAGCCUUAUCUCCCUGUCGGGAUGCAGGCUUCAGGACUGUUAUGUUGACGUCCGAGUAGAAGAAAUCAGGWUGGUGGCACCUACCAGGAUUAGAUAAAUCACUGGCGGUUCGCAACUGACCAGGGCUGCAGCAUGUACUUAUCAGUGGCGUGUAAUUCGGGUACAAGUGCAGAAAGCAGGGAUUGCGGCCUGAGGGCGCCUGCCA